rnacentral:rRNA from 1 species
UACAGAGGUCUCGAGCGUUGUUCGGAUUCAUUGGGCGUAAAGGGUGCGUAGGUGGCGCUGUAAGUCAGGUGUGAAAUUUCGGAGCUUAACUCCGAAACUGCAUUUGAUACUGCGGUGCUUGAGGACUGGAGAGGAGACUGGAAUUUACGGUGUAGCAGUGAAAUGCGUAGAUAUCGUAAGGAAGACCAGUGGCGAAGGCGGGUCUCUGGACAGUUCCUGACGCUGAGGCACGAAGGUCAGGGGAGCAAACGGG